CAAAUAGAGAAGCCACUUUUGAACUUUUUUUUUACAACUUCCGCCAUCCUGCUUUGAGUCUCACGGAUGCACAUCACAGGAAGCUCCUGAUCUCCCACGAAAGUUGUUUCUAACACCUUCUCCCUCUGCUCCCCUUUGUUCUCCGCAAUGAGCACCUAUGCUCUGCCGCCGCCUCCGCCAUUAGAGAACAAAUGUACCGAGCAACGGCAAUUUCUUUGAGGAGGCAUCGCCUCCUGCUGCUCCAGAUUACAGCUCAUUAGUAGCGGCGUCGGAGAGACACAGCCCACACCGCGGCUCCCCCCCGAUCCCCUCGUCGCUUCCUGCAAUCCCGGUGUGGCGGGACACCGUGACAAAAGCGGCGGAGGUGGUGGUUGUGACGGUGGGGUGUUUUGGACGGGGGGCAAAGACAAGCAGCGAGGGGACUCACAGUUCACCGUUUGCCAGCUGCUGGUGGAGAUGCGAAGAAGCGCUUCGGGGGACUGGAAUGGCGUUGAAGUGAAAGGAAUGCCAGGUUGUUGUCCAAGAGGACGGCGUGUCGCGUUGCUGGCUUGAUCGAGGACCACACGGCGCUGCUGCUGGUUGCCAGAUUUUGGAUUAUCCCGCCUAACAAUGGGCCAAAAGGACCGUUUGGACCGUCUCUCCCUCCGAGCUGCCAGGGGCCGCUCUGCCCCCCCGGCCCCCCAAAGGCUCUCCUCCCCAUUGCACGCACAUGGACGCACGGCCUCUCUGGGACCAGGCUCCCCCCCCCCUCACAUUGAGACUGUUAUUUAACGUGUCCUUGUGUUUAUGGCCAUCCAGUGGCCCACAAGAGAGCCGGUGAGGUAUAUUCUCGUGCACGCACACACAUUUUUUUACACUUAACAAGCGCACGGCGGCCGGAGAAUAUUGUCGAUUUCUUUCAACUUGGCGAUUAAGAACGUGUACACAUGUGUGCGUUUGUGACGCUCUUUUUCCCCACAGUGACUUUUAUUAAGUUGGCUGUCCGCUGUGCGUCUGCAGAACCUGUCUUUGUGUUUGACAUCUGCUGGGAGCAACGCUGGAAUACGUGACCUCCAGGCGCGCAGACAGAACGUAACCAUGGUGGAGACCAGGAUCAGAUCACACUCCGGCUGUCAGAGUCACGACCCCAACUGGAUCAGAGUGAAACCCGUGAAAUAGAACCGGCGCUUUCAGCGUCAGAACCCCAAACCAAAUCUGUCACUCAAACGGCAAACGGAGACCCAGGAAAGGCAGGAGGAGCAAAUGGGAAAGAGAGGAAUUCCUAGAUAGAAAAAUAAGAUAUGCGACCUGGAUCGAUGUCCAGAAGAGGGCCAUUAUACAGACCAGCAGAGAAGACAUCUUCUUGGUGCUGAAGCUUUAAAGGAGAAAAUAGUGGGGAAGCAGCCAAAAAGCCACACAGGCGACUGGAGAUGUAAGACAAGCAGCGGAUGCUGGACGAAAUGGGAAUGAGGAAUAAACCGAUAAAGAAAAACAAAAGGAUCCAGAUACUUUGAUUGUGGCUUCGGGAUGAUUAGUAUGCAAUGUAAUGUCAUGAUAUAGUGUGUCAUAAAAAAACUCAUAAAAAGUCAUAGUAAAGCAUGCAAUAAUAUUUUUGUGAAAAUCUCAUAAAAUAGCAGCUCAUGAAACAUGUCAUAAUAUAUGAUAAAUCUUUGAAAUAAUGCCAUAGCAAUAUCUUCGAAAUGUAAUGAAUAUCAUCAUGAAAAAGUCAUAGAAAUCAUAGCAUGGUUUGUCAUACUUUUAUCUUGUAUGUAUCUGGACUUUUAUCCAAUUUUCAACCUCAUAUAUUUAGGCUUUUUCUUCUAUUACAUUUUUCGACCUAAUAUAUUUUGACUUCAUCUUCCAUAAAAAUGUUUGACCUGAUGUAUUUAAAAUUUCCUUUCCAUAAGAUUGUUUGACCUAAUAUAUUUUUUUACAUAAAUUAUUUAUGCUUUUUCCAUGGCCUUUUUUGACCUAAUGUUUUUUUUAUUUUUUUUCCCAUGAUAUUUUUCAAUCUAAUGUACCAUGACUUUUUUUCUGCACACUUUUUGACCUAAGAGUUUUAAUUUUUCUUUUUUUUUCAUGUCAAAUCAUUUGAAAACGUUUUUCUUGAUUUUUUUAGUGGCAUAGUAUAAUAUCAUAUUUUUAUGACAUUGACAGAACUAUAUUGUGACAAUAUUUUAUAUUAUCUGAUGUCACGCUAUGAGCAACUUUGAGGAAAAGUUACAAGACUUAAAGAGGCUGAAUAAAAUUUGAACAAAAAGGAAAGAAGGAAGAAAAUGAGAAGCUUUAAGAGGGGAUCGAGAACUGCAUUGGGAAAGUACGUUAAGGAAGAUUACAGAGAAAAGAACGAUUAUGUGCAGAAAAUAGAGCGAGGCUGGAAAAGAGCAAACAGUCAACGUUGAGAGCAAGGGAUGGAGCAGGGUGUAUUAGCGACGUAGAUUAGCGCGGCAGCAAAGGGGAUUGUUGACAGCGUCUUUCAUCAGAGAAGAGGGCGGCGGCAGUGUGACGGUUCGCUCCCGCUCAGGUCCUGACCCGUGUUAUUGCAGAGCAGCUCUCAGCAGAUCAGCCGGCUAAAUGAAGCCAUUGUGCUGGAUGGUGCACAGCCUGAUGUUGUUGUAAUGAAGACAAAGCCACAUGUCACAUGCCAACCUGCGACUAUCAGCUCAGCAUGCACACCACACACACACUCGGGCAAGGUCACAUAAGCAUUUCAUGAGCACCAUAGUAUCUGCAGUGUUCCCAGACAGAUCCAAGUGGCGUUAUCUCUAAAUCUCGCCGAUACAGCCGACAUUAGGCUCUAAGAAGAGGAAGAGGUUGGUGAGAUUAUGCUGUAUUCCAAUAUUUCCACGCCUCACCUCCUUCAACACACAAACACAGAGGCCUAUGAUAUUUGAGAAAGGUCCGGGGGUUACUCUGGGCCCGUUGACUCAUCCUGUGAGAAGUGGAGCCCAAACAUUUGCUGUGCACGGCUUCAGUCCCUCAGGGCACCUGCUGCUUCUGACCCCGAGCCCUUCAGCACUGUAAUAAUGGGAACAUUCAUUAGAUUUCAUCUUGCUCAGCAUCAGGAAUGAGAACACCUGAGCCACGGAGGUGCAGAAUGGGUUUGUCAGUGACGUUUUGAUAAUGGUAUACAUACGUCCUUUUAUCAGCGGCUAUGAAUACAUUUAGAUUUCCAUCACAAGGGUAUGUCAGCUGAAGGCUUUCUGAUAAAACCCCAAACCAAACAAGAUUAACAGGUUCACAUAACGACAAAGAUAAAUGAUUAAGCUGCAAUUACUCGGGUCUAUAAUUACUAAGCAAUAUUGGGAAGGAAUUCUAGACCUAUGAGUCAAGAAGUAGCCACUUUCUUGUCCAAAUGACUAUGACAUAUCCUAAAAGUACAUUAACAGUUAUACUGUCUAACAUAAAUAUACAAUUCAGACAAAACAAACAUCCAUGGCACGCCGAGAUGAAGCGUGCUGUGUGGUGAUAAUUAGCACUUAGCACAUUCAUUUUGGCACGCUUAAUGCUAAACGAAAACAGUGAAGAUUACCUGCUAAUCAUCGGCAUGUUGAAAUUGUCGUUAUCAGCAUGUUACGGUGGCAUGCCGGCGUUAGGAGUUUGGCUCGAGCCACUGUUGAGUCAAUGCACAGAGCGGCAGGUGUUAGACUAGGCUUUGUUGUUUGUGUAAGCAUUGAAAUACACAGCAAAUACAUGGCUAUGUGUGUGUGUAUCAGAGCUUUCAGUCGAAUGUGUGUCCCCAAGUGAUCCUCCCGUGAUACAAGGCGGGGGGGCGAGGGGGGGGCAAUGAGGUUGUCAGACAUCCUCCGCGUUGGCUCACAGGUCAAAAUGAGGGCAUCUUUGCCUGUCACCGCUCCUCUGGAGUGUCUCUGCGUGCAUAGGUCUGUGCGUAUGCAUGCGUGUGUGUGUGUGCAUGUGUGUAUGCGUGUCUGCGAGCUGUGUGAAACCCACGGUAGCCUUACCCGUGAACCACUGAGACUACCCUCAGGGAAACGGUGUCAACUGUUUCCCCUCCAAAAAGCCACAAAGCAGGAGUUAAGACAGAUGCAGUCGGGAGAGGUGACCUGAGCAGACCUGUCGCCAUUCGCAAUAUAUUGACUUAUCGCACCGCGUAGGGAGAUGAGUGCGAUCAUUUUGGGUGGUGCGAUGUUCAUUUGACAUAUAAAUGAACGUCACCAACAUUUUAGUCGAUCGUGCUUCCCUCCAGUCUGCUUUCAUUGUUGGAAAUAAUAUCGCAUAUCGCAAUAGACAACCAAUGGGCAACCAGACAAAAUGACCCCCACAGACACACCACACGUACAUUGAAUAGUCUCAUAAAUUAACACAGCAGUAAUGUUAACAAAGCUUAUGCAAACUAAAUAACAGGAGUCGGCAUUCACACAGUAUGUUAUUACAGCUGAGAUUGUGUGUGUCACAAUAACAUUGUUUUACGUUAUUGGGGUGAUAUUAAUGUUUAAUUGGAAUUGGGUUUUUUUCGAUAGUAAAACCUGAGAUGCUUGUUUGAAAGGUGUGAUGUUUAAAUGUGCUUUUUUUAAUGAGACAUAUUUAAGCGAAAUAAAUAAUCCUGCAUGGGUUUCAUACUCUUCGCUUUGGUCCAAAAAACGACCACCCAGGGUCAUAAAAGUAAACUCAUCACACUCAUUAGACAAGAUGUUAUGGACCACACUCACACACACGCACACAGUUGCGUGAAUAUCAAUGAUAUUUUUUGAUAGCCUCUCUCUCCUUUUUGCUCCAUCUCGGUUGUCUUACACCCUUGUCUUCAGGCCACAAUGGAGGACGACCGCUAUAGUGAACCUCUCAGGAGGUUACCGGAACUCCGGAAGAGACCUCGAGAUUCUCACCGGACCGAUUUAGUUGAGGCGGUACAAUCAUCAUGGAUUCGUUGUACCUGUAAUGAAAAGACGCCGGUUCUAUGCUGCUGAGAGAGCAACACCUUUUAGAUGCAAAGGGCAAACACAAGGAAUGCCAUUUGUUUUGUUUUUUUUCAGUCCUCCAGGCAACUAACAUCACCAACAAAGGGUGUCACAAAGAUGGCUUUUAUGUGUGUGCAUGUUUUCAUGAUCCUACAAAACACUAAUCCUGGUAUUUCUGCCCUGGAGGAUAAACAUUCCCCUUAUUACUUGGGGACAUUUUUAGCAUGAUAUCUUUUUAGAAUAAAUCAGGGAGCACCCACCUCUCUGCUCACCUAGUCUCCUUCUCAUCUUCCUCAGAUGGAAGCGCUGAUGCAAAUACUGUUCCUGACAAGAACGUGGCUGGGUUGCAUUUCACGGUUUUCCGAGGUCCAAAUUGUGCACUCAUCAACUGUCCCUCGGCAUCAUUGUGUAGCCUGACUGAGCUCUACUAUCUGUAACUUCCAUGUGUGACCUCCUGCUUGUGAAUUCAGUGUCACUCUUCCAGUAUGAUCCCAGAGCAGCUGCGACAAAGCCUUUAGAGAUUUGCAGCAGUGGCUGAAGGGUUUCACAAUAACAGUGUCGGCCGCUUGCAGCUCUAGAGGAGCCAAGGACUUUGCAGACCACAACUUCUGUUUUUUCUAUGGAUGAAUGUAUGGGGUGCAUGGAUGGAGGUAUAAAUGGGGGCAUAAACAGGAGAAGCGGGAGGCUUUUUGUGCUGCAGCAGAUGGAGGAGCAGCAGGUGUUGGGGUGGGGAGGGACUGGGGUUCCCAUCGUCAGCGUUCCACCAUGAUGCUCCUUGACAGCACCGGGAAUGGAUGUGUGGGAGAAUGUACUCUCUCUCCCCAUUAGCACAACUUCAGCCCAUAGCCGCCUCCACUCCAGACUCUCCUCGCUCUCCUGCUUCCGCAUCAAGCCGAGGGAUACAGAAACAGGUGCGGAAGGUGUCUCCAUCGGCGUCCCGGAGUUGGUGGCGGAUCCAUGAUGCGCGGGUGAUGGAUAGAUGCGUGGCUGGACUGGUGAUGUCUCACAGGGGUCAUGCACCCACCCCCCCCUCCCACACACACACAAACUUAAUGCCACAUUUAUCAUCUGAUCACAACAGCGUGCACUAAAUGACAGUUGGUGAAAUUGGAUUUUGCUCACAUUUCUUUAAGGUUUUUAAAAAACAGAAGGAGUUUUUUUCUUGUGAAUUCGAUGCAAUUAAAAGCGGCUCUUCACUGUAAAGAGGAGGAAGAAACUGACUGAAAAUGACUGCAUCGAUAGGCAAAGAGGCAUGACAACAAUUCACAAAACCAGAUUGGCCAAGUAAGUACCAAAAUAUUUUGUGCAAUGGUUAACUUAAGGCUUUGUAUGAGGAGAAUAACUUUGGACAGCAAAUGAGUCUGUUCAGGUAAUCACACGCUGGCAACGGCGGCUCAGAAAGCGCAAUAAACCUGCUUUAAAUGAGGCUGGGAACCUUUGCUCCGGGGAACCAAUAAACACCCAGACUGGUGCCUCAGCAGGACACACACUAACACACACAACUCGCACAUGUACACAAACCUGCUUGCCACAGGGAAAAUGAGGGCUGAUGAAUAGUGUUGUGCGCCACAUUACUGGAGACAAACAAAUAAGCAGCAUGUGUCACGACUGAUAACACAUAUCCCUCGGUGUGGCGUGUGUACGUCUGAGGACAUCUUGUGCACAUGAGGUGGCAUCUGUCUUUCAUUAAUUCCAAACUACUUCAGUUUGUACAACAUUGCUCAUGUUGCCGUCGCGACACCCUCUCUUCUAGUUUGACAUGGCACUUGAGUUUUCAAAUAUAGAAAAUAAAGCAUUUCAUUUUAAACUGUAUGUUUAGGUGCCCUGAUAAAUAUUUACCCUGUAGGACUUCUGUUUUAUACAGACUUUAAGAAAGGCCCCAACUGACGUGGACGCUCAAUAUACUUCCUCUUAGUCUCACAUAAAAUUCGUAUAGAAAUUUUAAAUGUUGGAUUUUAUCAUUUCAAGAAGGUAUUUUCAGAGGCAUGCCCACGUUUUUUAAUCUUUGUGAAGUUCAAUGCCUCUUUUCCUUUUUAUUCAAGGAAAAGCUGAUUUUUUUUCCUUCAUUUUUUUAAGACAUAACAUAAUCUACAGAUGUGUUAAGUUAUCUCAACAUAAUUCAUACAUUUCUCACAUUAGACAUCGCACAUUUCUGAUGAGAGUUUCGUGUCAGUAGAAUGUAAUUAAAUCAUUUAAAAAUGACAAACUAUUCAAAGCAUGAAGGCAGAAAAGUACUUGAAUAACAUCUGCCCUCUUCAUCAGCCUCAGUGAUUGCUAAAAUCAUACAAGAGGUGAGCGUUUUAAAUUUAUUCAAUAAUUGUUUACUGCUCUAACUUUUGGCUAAGCUGACUUGGCUGAAAUCGGGAAACUGUCCGGUGGACAUCUGAAGCUAUCAGUUGCGAAAGAGGAGAGGGACAGAGAGAGAAGGAGGAAUCCGAGGCGAUAGAAACAGAGAGUUAAUACUCGCUAACGUCUCUCUCGCUGCAGCCUGAGCCCUGCGCUGCGUGUGAAAUCCUCAGAUGGAAUCCCUCCCUUAUUAUUCGUAACUGUUUGUGAGACUCUGCAUGUGCUGCUAUUUGUUCUUUACGUGGAUUACGGUGUAAGUCAUUUCAAAUCCCCCUACCCACCUCCUAUGAUCAGUUGUGAUGUGUAACUUUAUAUUUUUAAUAUUAAAUCAUUUUGCCACCAUGUAUGGUUAAUUGUAAAUAGAAUAUGAUGUGAUCUGCCUCCGAGCCUGUGCAUGUGUCCUUGUCCUUCUUAUUACUCCUUAAAAGUGACGUAAAUGGAAUUUAUUGAAACUUGCAGUGUUUCAGGGUAUUUAUUUAGUUUUUUUGUCUGUCCUGAUUCGGAAUCAAUAUGAUACAAUGUUGUAGUUGCCCCUUUGUUCGGUCUGUGUUCACGAUGCAACAUUUAACAGCAAAAUAAAUAUUGUAAACAAACACCA